rnacentral:rRNA from 1 species
GACAGGUGGUGCAUGGUUGUCGUCAGCUCGUGUCGUGAGAUGUUGGGUUAAGUCCCGCAACGAGCGCAACCCUUAAGCUUAGUUGCCAUCAUUAAGUUGGGCACUCUAAGUUGACUGCCGGUGACAAACCGGAGGAAGGUGGGGAUGACGUCAAAUCAUCAUGCCCCUUAUGAUUUGGGCUACACACGUGCUACAAUGGACAAUACAAAGGGCAGCGAAACCGCGAGGUCAAGCAAAUCCCAUAAAGUUGUUCUCAGUUCGGAUUGUAGUCUGCAACUCGACUACAUGAAGCUGGAAUCGCUAGUAAUCGUAGAUCAGCAUGCUACGGUGAAUACGUUCCCGGGUCUUGUACACACCGCCCGUCACACCACGAGAGUUUGUAACACCCGAAGCCGGUGGAGUAACCUUUUAGGAG